UACGGAGGAUACAAGCGUUAUCCGGAUUCACUGGGUUUAAAGGGUGCGUAGGUGGCUUUGUAAGUCAGUGGUGAAAUCUCGGAGCUUAACUCCGAAACUGCCAUUGAUACUGCUUAGCUUGAAUCAGGUAGAGGUGGAUGGAAUAUUACAUGUAGCGGUGAAAUGCUUAGAUAUGUAAUAGAACACCGAUUGCGAAGGCAGUUCACUAUGCCUGCAUUGACACUGAGGCACGAAAGCGUGGGGAUCAAACAGG
rnacentral:rRNA from 1 species